rnacentral:lncRNA from 1 species
ACAAAGCUUAUGUUUUAGGUCCACCCGAAGCCAUUCAUGACAUACAACACUUACUCCAAAACAAAAUCUGGUAUAUGGGUACCUAGCUCCAUGUAUAAGGCUAACUGGUCUGAUCAGCUGAAGAAUUUCAUCAAGAAAAACUGGAACAAUGUGACAGUCCAAAAUCUAUUGAGUUGAUUUACUUGAACCCAAACUAAGAUAAUAUUACUAUUAAGUGACAAAAAUUUGUUAGAUACAUGCCACUCAAAGUGGUACAGUAGUGCUAUAAAUAGAACAUAUAUUUUUCAAAAGUGUUGGAGAUUUCAAGAGAGAGCAAAGAGCAAGUGGCCAAGAGUCCCCUCCCCACAAGGCCUUAGGAUAUAUUUAUAGGAGAAGGGAGAUUGUUGUUUAUGUUUACUGCCCUAAUCUACACGGAUGAACCCUAGAUUGGGACUGAUUGUGAGACCCUUUUCUCAUCGGGAGCCGUGGCUCCGUAACUAAGAUAAACCCUAGAUUGUGGGCUGAUUGAGACCCUUUCCUCGUCGUGAGUUUGGCGCCUUCCCUUUACGCUGGAGUCGAUGCGAUUAGAGCUAUUGAUUAGGGGCGAUUGGGGUGUCUGUCUACUUCUUUGGACAAAUUAAAGGACCUCUGCUAUCAUCUGUGUUGGUGACAUGUGAGUCUUACAAAGUGCAUACUGAUUCUGCAACCGCUAUUUUUUCUCAUAUUGUGCACUAUUUGGGGUAUGCUUAUCUUAUAUGGAGAUGACAAAAAGGAAGAAUACAAACGUUAAGAGGAGCAAUUAGUGACAAAAAUUUGACAUGGAUACCACUACUUAAAGUUAUGCAACAUAUGGUUAAGAGGAGCAAUUAGUGACAAAAAUUUGUUAGAUACAUGCCACUCAAAGUGGUACAAUAGUGCUAUAAAUAGAACAUAUAUUUUUCAAAAGUGUUGGAGAUUUCAAGAGAGAGCAAAGAGCAAGUGGCCAAG